ACAGGUUCAAAGGAGGAGCCGCCAGAACCACAAUUCGUCCUCCACCCAUUUGAUAGCAACAGCCAAAAAAAAAAAAAUAAGUGGCAACCCCCAAUGUUACAUAAAAGCUGUUCGCAAAAUGAGUUACGAGAAGCAGAAAUCUGCAACAAAGUUAAGCCCAGGAGACCAGCACAGAGACAAAAAGUGCUUCCUUGAGAGGGUUGGUGGCAAUCUGGCAGCAUCUCCAUGCUGACCACGGUCACAGGAAGAGUUUAAAACACUAAAAUUCUCAUUAUUACAAUACAUGAUGCUGGCACUCUACAGUCUUUCAGCAAAACCCAUUCUGAAGCCAAGCACUUUUCCUGAUGAGCCCCUGCCUAAUGUUAUUGAUGGCUUUUACAGAGCACAUUCCCUGGAUCCCGGCUGCCCGCAGCACUCCCGGGUAGCCUCGAGAAAAUGCAGAGCACAGGGAGAGGGCUCUCUCCGUAUCCGCUCUCGCUCCGUACCGGGCAGAUCUCCCGCUGCGUGCGAGGAGCUCUUUCAUCGGGACAAGUCAAUCAGCAAAGAUCUCUCCAGACACAGACCUCUCGCUGGGAAGAGGGGCGGAAAGCCCCGAACUGCGUGGGAUGCAUCCACAGCCCAGUUUGGCCACGGACAGGGAAUACCCAAGUAUCCCACAGGCAUAAAAUAAAAACAAAAUUAAAAAAAAAAAAAAUACGGAAAAACCCGGCGAUAUCUUUUCUAGAUCCCAGGCUUUGCUUGAAAAGCAGCACCUGAGCCUCCCAUUAACCACAACGAUCGCUUUUUAGGAGCAAUUCUGGGUGUCCCCCUGAAGCACAGCGCCCAGCCAGGCCACCGGCCAUGUCACCUUCCCCGGCUGCCAUGAGGAAGCGGGUGCGUCCCUUUACACCCCUGCCAAGGGAUCACAUCCAGGAGUUGCGGAACAAAAAAGGACUCUGGAAACCCGGCGCCCCGGGAGCGCUUCGGUGACGGACCGCACGGAGGGCGAGGCCGCCGCCGCCACCACCUCGACCCACGGGCGAAGUUCAGCCUUUCCUGCAGAGAACCCGGGUGGGUGAAACCGCGAGGGCACCGCGAGGGGACCGGGAGGGGACCGGGAGGGGACCGGGAGGGGACGAGGACCCCCGUGGGGGUGCGGGGGGUGCCCCCUCCGCAUCCCGCGCACGUGCGGGCGCCGUCCCGGCGGGUGCGGGGAAAGUUGCGGGGCCCCUCCAGGACCGGGUAAACAGCCCCCGGCCCGGGAUCCCGGGAAAACACAGGCGUGCACAGAGACCCCUCCCCGCUCACCUUGGUGUAGAGCUGCACGGUGGACAUGGCUGGGGCCGGCAGCGCUAAGCGCGGAGCAUGGGGGCGGCGGGCGGGCGGGCGGACCGACAGCCGGACAGACGGACACACGGACGCACCGACCUUUACACCCGCCGCGGCCGGCCGGGGUGCGGGGACGGGAAGGGAAGGGAGCGGCGGCAGGAGGAGGAGGAGGAGGAGUAGGAGGGGGGGGAGAGGAAGGAGGAGGCAGCACCGCUCCGCCUCCGCCGCGCCCCGCUCAGGUAUGGGGCGGCUCGGCUCGGCUCCUUUCGGUUCGCUUCGCCUCGGGUUUUAUUAUUAAUUUAUUUAUCUUUUUAAAGCCCUUUUUAAUAAUUUUUUUUUUUCCCUGGCGGUCACCACCAUCCCGCCCGGCCCGGUCCCCCGCCAGGGGUAGGGACCCCCCCGGCACCGUGGGUUGGUGCUGGGUUUGGGGUUUUUUCCCCCCUUUUAUUCAUCUUCCUUUCUCACAGAAGAAGAGUAACUGAGCCCCAGUGCGGUGCCCCUCGGUGGUUUGGAGGUCUCCCAUCCUCAACCAUGGGGAUCACCCACAUUUUGGGGUGCGAGGAAUGGCGUUACUGGGGUGUCCUUUGCCAGGACACACCUGUUCCCUGGGAGGAGAGCAUUGUCCUCAUGAACCCACUGAAAAUCCACUCAAGAAACGUGCCAGAUAUAGGUUUUUCUCUGCCUUCUUCUGUCUGGAGGUGGGUUUGGGGUCCCACCACCAACGUGGCUCCUGGACACUGCUUGUGUGACACUCCUACGCUGAAGGAAUUGUUACUUCGGCAGCAACAGCCAAAAAUUGAUCCCAGCCUGUCGAUCCGUGGCCAUGCUGCCUCCCUCCAUCCCGCGGGAGCACCCUGUGCUUCGGUUCGUGCUUAUAAGGCACUUUUAGAGCCCGGGAAGGAUGAUGCAAAUGCAGAGUGUUCCUAAUUAAUCACUAUUGCCAUUCUUUAUCAUUCAGGGCAUUUUGCAUAUUAACUAAGCAGGCAGAAAACACACUCCGCGGGUCCUGUUCUCUGUCACAGUUGUUUGCUCCGUCGCUGGGAUCCGUCCUCCCGCGGUUUCGGGCUGUGCUGCUCACAGAGCACCCUCAGCCUUUCUUUAAAGACGUUGCUGGUGGCAUCUUACCCUCUGCUCCUCAUCCCUUGGGGGGUGAAAUUCCCCCCUUCGGAAGCUUUUCUUUUUUCCACCCCAGAGCCUGGCAGAGCACAGCACCGAUUGGGUGGGAGGAUAGCCGGCAUCGCAGAUACCUUUCUUUUCCAGCUCUGAUGUCUUUGAUGAAUCCAAAUAAACUGCAGGUGGCUCUGGGGGAAGUUUGGGAAGGAGGAAAGAGGGGGAGAAAAAGCUGCACCACUGCUGGAAAUUACUCUGGGAAAAUUUGACAGUGUAAUCUCUGUAAAGCCUCCAAGAGAGCUUUGUCAGGCAAACAAAACUUGCUCCCCUCCUUUCACUAAAUCAGCUGUGGAAACAAAACGUGGAGCACCAGUGCAAGCAGAAGCGAAGCUCAGUGAAGCUGGGGUAGCAGUGAUAGCCCAGAGGCAAAGCACAGCAGUUCCCAUGAAAUACCAGCUGGUGCCGUGUGUGAUUCUCCAUUAAUCUAAAAUUUUAAUUAAAGCCAGAAACUAAACCCACCAAAAUACAUACAAAAUCCCCGAAGUACAUCCUAAAUGCUGAGUUGCUGGAUGUUGUCUUAUCCAGGAGAUAGAUUAUUUUUGUUUGGGAAUCAAAACUUGUGUUGAUCAUAUUUAAGAAGCACUGGCUCUUAAAUAGCAUUUUAUGGUAUCCCCUCUGGCAUUUACGUUGAAGGCAUUUAGAGGUGAAAAUGAACCAAAUACUAGGUUUUUUCCCCUCUAAGCAGAGCCAGUGGGUUCCUUGCAAGUACAGGAUGGGUGUUGGACUUUAUUUUAAGGUCCCAGCCUUGUCUCUGUGUUGCAAUGACACAUGGAGACCCCAGGGACAGAUGGAUGGACGGACAGAUGACAGCACAGGGCAGUGAGGGGCAUCAAUUCUGACAGCUCCAAAUGUCACCAGGACAGAGUUGACUGUUCCUAAAGACAAUGCCAGGUCCUGAAUUUUUGCAUGCAAAGCUGCCCCAACGACCUCAAAUCUGGACUUCCCUCCUCCUGGGCCACACAGAAGUCACCAUGUGAGAGAGCUGGGUCUGGCAGUGUCACCAUACCCUGGGCAUGGCCACAACAACUGCUCCUACCUGAGUGAAAGUAAUGAAAACUUAUUCCAGGUGUUAAAGCGAUGAAUAAUUAACAAGGAGGGAUUUUCCUGCAAAUAAAACUGAUUCUGUCCAAAGCCCUGCAGCCCAGCCCCCGGAGCAGGGACCAAGCCAGCACCAUGCCAUGGGGCACCAGGAACCACUCCACAGCUCAGUGUCUCUGCAUGGCAAAAAACAUCACCAUGGAGAGCCCUGGGGUCAGGAUAAAAGCCCUUGUGAGCAGAAGGGUGCUCAGUCUGACAGCCUUGGCAAGGGCUGUAGGUUCAGACCUUGGAGUGGGUCUGGGAUGAUGGAUCAGGGACAGGCAAAUCACCCACGCUGCUCUUCCUCUGUCAGUGUCGAAACUUUAAUUAGAAAAUACAAGGAAGAAUAUUUUGCAAGGCUCUAGUACCUGCAUAAAUGAAAAGGCUGUAACUGCCAGGUUUUUAAAUGCCAGUGGUUUUGUCUCUGCGUGGCUCAGAGCCCUGGUGGAGGGAGAGCUCACCCAGCCGUGGUCCAGGCUGCUUCCCUCACCAGCGCUGUCCCUGCGCUCUCGGUUUAAUAGAUGGUUUGGCUUCGGGAUUGCUCACUCAGGCAGGAAAUACCACAUUCAUGAGCAGUAGGUAACGCUCCUGAGGUUCCUGGGACCUGCGAGCCACAAUUCCAGAUCCGUUUUGCUCAGUUAUUGCCCGAUGAUCUGUAAGUCACAAAUGUAACGUGAGCGCUGGCCCGAGGGAGGCAAAGGCACGACCAUGCUUUGAAGCACGUGCUACUCAGUGCCCUAUUUGCCCAGUUUACUGCAGGGAUAUCAAAAGAACUGGAAGAAGAGGGAAAUCCAUAGGAUCGAGGAGACUCUUCAGUCUCGGCAGAGAAUACCAUUCUUGCUGCAUCGCUCAUCUGGCUGUCAGGGGCUGCGAGAAGGUGCCUCUCAAGGAGUCUGCUGACCCACCCAGCCUCACCUGCUCUUCUGCACCAACCUGAAUUCUACAAAGCACUUGGCAGCAAAGGAUUCAGCCCCAGCAGCAUGUUCAUCCACCACCAGUUUUCUCUCAGAAGAGCUUAGCUGCCCGUUAUCCCAUGGGAAUUCACUCCUGCUGAAGGCAAACUUCUUCCAGUCUGAUCUUUUAAUUUUGUGCAGACCUCAUGUUCGCUGCAGAGGAAUUUUGCCUCCAGGAGCAGGAGCUCAGACACUUUAUAAAUGUUUGAUAGCUCUGACCACCUCUUCUGAGUUAUUAUUUUAUUAAAAAAAGAAAUUUAUUACGGUUCUGGAUGGUUCAAAUUCACCAAGCUCAACAAUAUGAUUUUUUUUUUCUCUCUCAUAUUGCAUAUGGCCCCAACAAAUGUCACAGCCUUUAAUAACAUGCUUUAAUUAAUCCUGGAAUUCUGAAUGUGCUAUUAUCUUCAUUUUUCAAAGAGAGGUCACAGUAGUAAAGAAAAAUCUACAUUGCUUGCAUAGGGCCACUCCUGGAGUCUGCGGCAGACCAGGAAAUUAAUCUCUUAAUCAUUCUGCCAGUUUGACCCAGCAGUGAGAGGACAGACCUAUGACUACCUCAGCUCUCUGGGCUGAUGAAACUAUUUCCAUUAUCUGGGAUGACCUUUCCUAUCAGCAAAACAGGAGGAGCAGCUCUGAAAUCCCCUGUAUGGUUUUGGAAAUGGUUGUUGAAAAGCACCGUGAAGGGGCUCAGCAUCCCGACUAACAACUCACCUCUCCCAGUCUGCAACGUUUCCCUUCCUUGGAGGUUUCCUUUCUCAGUAUCUGUAGGACACAAACCCUAUCUGUAUUCAAGGAAUAAGACAUGAAGAGGCUUUGCUCUGCUCUGUCUGGUCACCUGCCUGGAUGGUAACAGCCAGUGGACUUGUCCCUCUUCCAUCUGCUGACUCAGGAUGCUCCUCUCUGAGAUGUUUUGUCUGUAAGCAAGGAUAAAAUCCCACCACACUCCUUUUCCCCUCAGCAGGGCCAGGUUCUUCCACCAUUUACACCCAGAAUUAGCUGGGUUGUUCAAAGAUCACUGAUACUGUUUCAGAUUAAUACAUCUCUACCUGGCCUUUUUCUCCACAGAAAAAAAAAAAAAAACAUUUGCGAACUCGGUUUCUGCCUUAAACCACGAUGAGACAACUUUGCAGGCUGCUUACCCCUGAUUUGUUCUGAGAUAUCUGGGAGCUGGGGCUCCUGGGCUCUGAUCCGAGCCAUUUAUCAGCUCCUCUGAUGAAUGUGCAACCAUUCAUGCUCCCACAAAACAAAAACACAAAAGUCCUGGUAUUUGCCAACUGGGAAACAAACACUGAAAAGCAAGGUAGGGAGGACAAAAAGGGUAGAGAAAGUGGUUAGAGAUGGAUGGAAGAAGAAAAGGGUGGAGAAGCAGGGGCUGGAGCAAAGAGAGGAGAAGACAAAAAGCUGAAGGAGAGAAAAAUAGCUGCAGAUAAGCAGCAGCAAAGACACAAGGGGAAAAAUGAAAGAAAUAAUAUGAAACAUUUCCAGAUGCCACAAAGUCUACGAGCAAGAAAGGAUAUGAAGUUUUAAAUGGAUUCUUCACCUCCCUCCUCUGCAAAGGACUGAGAGAAAACUAAUUGAAUACACAGGAAGGAGCUGGUUGAGGGCAAUGGCUCGGGGAGAAGAUGGAUUGCUCCCACCCAUCCUCCUCGUGUCACCCCCUGCUCCUCUGCACACAGGGCAAUCUGGCCUUUGACAUGGGGAGCUGAGAAGGCAGAGAGGAGGUGUCCCUGCUCCCCACUGCCAAAACCCUCCCAACCCUCCUCUGCUGACAUCCAGCCAUUUCUUUUGUUGCUCCAUCCUAAAGUGUUGUUGGUGCUCUGGCCCCCCAUUCCAUCUGUUCAGACUGUGGUGUUGGUGACAAUCCAAGGAACCCAAAGAGGCAGACUUGCCAUGAAAGUGAUAGAAAAUAACAAGAAAAUAACAACUUCAGCCCUGCACAAUUAAUUCUGCACAAGCAGAGGACUCACAGACUAGCUUUGGGCUCUGGUAUUCCACAGAUCAUUCAACAGCCAUCAGAGUUUAUGGAAAAGAAUAUCAGCUUUUUACUGUCCAUCCCACAGUAAAAGAGAUUCAUAGUUUUAUAUUUAACAGCUAAAAUUGAGUCACCAAGUACGUUUUAUCUAGAUAUAAAGAAAAAAAAGAUUCUGCAAAUAUUUUCAGUUUGAAAGGCAUUUUAAUAAAAGUUUGCUGAAAGUCUUCCACAAAUUUUCUUCGUGCAGAUUUUAAAGAAUGCCUGUGUGUCUUAAGUGUCAUAAUAAUACACUAUUACACUGCAGAGAACAUACAGUAUUCUUGAAUUAAAAUGUCAAACGCUUCGAAUUGGAUCAGUCGUUUUCCCCAAAAAUAUCCACAGGGGAGAAAUAAACUUCAAAAUACUGCCUUUCUUAUAAAUUCCAAUUAAAUGUUUUGAGUAUUACAGUGGAGAGACUUCUGCUAACUCUAGUCAGGUAUAAACACUCUAGGAAAAUGUUUUCAAAGGCAACUGAGUGAGCUAAAAUACCACAGUGAGUAAUGCCCCCUAUGAGUCAGACAUUAGGGCUUUUCUCAUAGGGUGGGUUUUUAGUAUGGAGUCCCGGGGCGCUGACAGAAUGAACUGCACCCUUUCUUCAUACUCUCUCUGUUCUUCCAGACCUGCCUCAUAUUCCCGUUUCCUCUCCUUUUCCUCUUCCUCACGGAGGUGCUGUCGGUAGGAAAUCUGACUCGUGAGCUGAUCCCGGUACUCGUUGGCUUUCUGUACUUUUCUGAAAAUGCCAGAUGGACAGGUCAUUUAAGAAGUGUGGGUAAAAAGAAUAAACGUUAUUACUAUUA